AGAGUUUGAUCCUGGCUCAGGACGAACGCUGGCGGCGUGCUUAACACAUGCAAGUCGAACGGUAAGGCCCUUCGGGGUACACGAGUGGCGAACGGGUGAGUAACACGUGGGUAAUCUGCCCUGCACAUCGGGAUAAGCCUGGGAAACUGGGUCUAAUACCGAAUAGGACCACAGGACACAUGUCCUGUGGUGGGAAGCUUUUGCGGUGUGGGAUGGGCCCGCGGCCUAUCAGCUUGUUGGUGGGGUGAUGGCCUACCAAGGCGACGACGGGUAGCCGGCCUGAGAGGGUGUCCGGCCACACUGGGACUGAGAUACGGCCCAGACUCCUACGGGAGGCAGCAGUGGGGAAUAUUGCACAAUGGGCGAAAGCCUGAUGCAGCGACGCCGCGUGGGGGAUGACGGCCUUCGGGUUGUAAACCUCUUUCACCAUCGACGAAGGUCCGGGUUUUCUCGGGCUGACGGUAGGUGGAGAAGAAGCACCGGCCAACUACGUGCCAGCAGCCGCGGUAAUACGUAGGGUGCGAGCGUUGUCCGGAAUUACUGGGCGUAAAGAGCUCGUAGGUGGUUUGUCGCGUUGUUCGUGAAAUCUCACGGCUUAACUGUGAGCGUGCGGGCGAUACGGGCAGACUUGAGUACCGCAGGGGAGACUGGAAUUCCUGGUGUAGCGGUGGAAUGCGCAGAUAUCAGGAGGAACACCGGUGGCGAAGGCGGGUCUCUGGGCAGUAACUGACGCUGAGGAGCGAAAGCGUGGGGAGCGAACAGGAUUAGAUACCCUGGUAGUCC
rnacentral:rRNA from 1 species